CCUACGGGGGGCAGCAGUAGGGAAUCUUUCACAAUGGGCGAAAGCCUGAUGGAGCAACGCCGCGUGCAGGAUGAAGGCCUUCGGGUUGUAAACUGCUUUUAUAAGCGAGAAAUAUGAUGGUAACUUAUGAAUAAGGAUCGGCUAACUACGUGCCAGCAGACGCGGUCAUACGUAGGAUCCGAGCAUUAUCCGGAGUGACUGGGUGUAAAGAGUUGCGUAGGUGGCAUAAUAAGUAGCUAGUGAAAUCUGGUGGCUCAACCAUUCAGACUAUUAGCUAAACUGUUAAGCUCGAGACCGUUAGGGGUAACUGGAAUUUCUAGUGUAGGAGUGAAAUCCGUAGAUAUUAGAAGGAACACCAAUAGCGUAGGCAGGUUGCUGGGACGGUUCUGACACUAAGGCACGAAAGCGUAGGGAGCAAACGGGAUUAGAUACCCGUGUAGUC
rnacentral:rRNA from 1 species